rnacentral:tRNA from 1 species
GUGAGUGUAGCUCAGUUGGUAGAGCGCUGGAUUGUGGCUCCAGUGGUCGUGGGUUCGAUCCCCAUCACUCACCCCA